rnacentral:rRNA from 1 species
AGCGUUGUGAGGCGUUGAGCUAACUUGUACUAAUGACCCGUGAGGCUUAACCAUACAACCCAGAUGGGUUUU